CAAUUAUCAGCUGUGCCCUUAGUUUUUUUUUGCUAAAAUAUCAGCUGUGCCCUUAUUUGCUCAUGCCAUAAUGUGGCUUAUCAGAUGCAUUCUGUUCUCAUGACCACUCUUUGCUUCUUUUCUUCUGUUUAUCACAUUUGCUGUUAAUGCUAAAAGUUGCAUCAUUUCAUUAGUGACAGAGGAAUACUACAUAAGCAUUAUAGCACACAAAUACUUUUUUGGGUUACAUAGAGAGCAAAAACCACAAGCCCAACAAACAUAAGCAUCCUACCUACAGCCUUUCAGACUGCAGAGAAACACCUAGACAUACAUGGUUCUGAAACCUAGUCAUAAGAGCGAGAAAACAUAUUAGAAGUAUAGCAAAUGGACUUGAGCUUACAUAAUGAAAACAAGCUAUUGGUGGAACCAUGAUGACAAGAAGAGAGACUCAGAAAAUGAAGCAUUAUGUGCCCAUGUUGCGAUGAACUUUGUCAAUGAACUCUUUGGCUUUCCUGUCUAUAUCUGGUUCACCAUACCAGUGGCCCCGGUCCUCAUCGCUCGGCCGAACCUUUCUUGGAUGCCUUGGUCCCUCUUCAACAUCUUGUCUCUCAUGGUGGUGCUUCUUGAAGCCAAGAAAACCAAGCAAAGAUUUCUUCUCUCCUCCCAUCCCUCACUUCCUUGCUGCUCUCUCCCUCCUUUCCUAUGUAACAACAGCUCCUCUAUGAGAACUUCUAUUUGCUGGUUGUAAGAGGAAAGGAGCAACCUCAGAAUUUAUAGGAGGAGAUCUCCCUCCCCCAUGGAAAAAUACAGGGGAACGAGAGCUGAGAUAUUUCAGACCAUUGG
rnacentral:lncRNA from 1 species